rnacentral:rRNA from 1 species
UACGAAGGGGGCUAGCGUUGCUCGGAAUUACUGGGCGUAAAGGGCGCGUAGGCGGAUAUUUAAGUUAGAGGUGAAAGCCCAGGGCUUAACCCUGGAAUUGCCUUUAAGACUGCAUCGCUAGAAUCGUGGAGAGGUGAGUGGAAUUCCGAGUGUAGAGGUGAAAUUCGUAGAUAUUCGGAAGAACACCAGUGGCGAAGGCGACUCACUGGACACGUAUUGACGCUGAGGUGCGAAAGCGUGGGGAGCAAACAGG